rnacentral:rRNA from 1 species
UACGUAGGGUGCGAGCGUUGCCCGGAUUUAUUGGGCGUAAAGGGCGCGUAGGCGGCCACGCACGUCCGUUGUGAAAUCGCCCGGCUCAACUGGGCGGGGUCAGCGGAUACGGUGUGGCUCGAGCAAGCUAGGGGGCAAUGGAAUUCCCGGUGUAGUGGUGGAAUGCGUAGAUAUCAGGAGGAACACCGAUGGCGAAGGCAGGUCACUGGGCCGCAACUGACGCUGAGGAGCGAAAGCAUGGGGAGCGAACAGG